rnacentral:rRNA from 1 species
CCUACGGGAGGCAGCAGUGGGGAAUAUUGGGCAAUGGAGGCAACUCUGACCCAGCCAAGUAGCGUGAAGGAUGACUGCCCUAUGGGUUGUAAACUUCUUUUAUAUGGGAAUAAAAUGUUCCACGUGUGGGAUUUUGUAUGUACCAUAUGAAUAAGGAUCGGCUAACUCCGUGCCAGCAGCCGCGGUAAUACGGAGGAUCCGAGCGUUAUCCGGAUUUAUUGGGUUUAAAGGGAGCGUAGGUGGAUUGUUAAGUCAGUUGUGAAAGUUUGCGGCUCAACCGUAAAAUUGCAGUUGAAACUGGCAGUCUUGAGUACAGUAGAGGUGGGCGGAAUUCGUGGUGUAGCGGUGAAAUGCUUAGAUAUCACGAAGAACUCCGAUUGCGAAGGCAGUUCACUGGACUGCAACUGACACUGAGGCUCGAAAGUGUGGGUAUCAAACAGGAUUAGAUACCCGAGUAGUC